AGUGAACGCUGGCGGUAGGCCUAACACAUGCAAGUCGAACGGCCGCACAGUAAGAGCUUGCUCUUACGGGUGGCGAGUGGCGGACGGGUGAGGAAUACAUCGGAAUCUACUUUUUCGUGGGGGAUAACGUAGGGAAACUUACGCUAAUACCGCAUACGACCUACGGGUGAAAGCAGGGGAUCAUCGGACCUUGCGCGACUGAAUGAGCCGAUGUCGGAUUAGCUAGUUGGCGGGGUAAAGGCCCACCAAGGCGACGAUCCGUAGCUGGUCUGAGAGGAUGAUCAGCCACACUGGAACUGAGACACGGUCCAGACUCCUACGGGAGGCAGCAGUGGGGAAUAUUGGACAAUGGGCGCAAGCCUGAUCCAGCCAUGCCGCGUGAGUGAAGAAGGCCUUCGGGUUGUAAAGCCCUUUUGUUGGGAAAGAAAAGCAGCAGGUUAAUACCCCGCUGUUCUGACGGUACCCAAAGAAUAAGCACCGGCUAACUUCGUG
rnacentral:rRNA from 1 species